rnacentral:tRNA from 1 species
CCAGUGGAGGUUCAGUGGUAGAAUUCUCACCUUCCAUGUAGGAGACCCGGGUUCAAUUCCCAGCCAGUGAA